GGGGGCAUAACUCAAUGGUAGAGCGGCGGUUUUAAUCCGCAUGAUUCCGGUUCAAAUCCGGAUACCCCGA
rfam:Lactonifactor longoviformis DSM 17459 genome assembly, contig: EJ64DRAFT_scaffold00066.66